rnacentral:ncRNA from 2 species
AACUAGCCCCGAUUGCAGCGACAUCCUUUUUGUGAGGAGGAACGACGAGCAAAAAGAUACAGCGGAAAGCGGGAAAUAGC